rnacentral:rRNA from 1 species
GUCGAACCGUGCGAACGUUGUUCGGAUUCACUGGGCUUAAAGGGCGCGUAGGCGGCUUGCCAAGUCAGGGGUGAAAUCUUUCGGCUCAACCGGAAAAGUGCUUCUGAUACUGGCAGGCUGGAGGGAGGUAGGGGCAGAUGGAACUUCCGGUGGAGCGGUGAAAUGCGUAGAUAUCGGAAGGAACGCCGGUGGCGAAAGCGAUCUGCUGGAUCUCUUCUGACGCUGAUGCGCGAAAGCCAGGGGAGCAAACGGG